GAUGAACGCUGGCGGCGUGCUUAACACAUGCAAGUCGAACGGGAUCCAAGGAGCGUUUUUCGUUUUUUGGUGAGAGUGGCGAACGGGUGAGUAACACGUGAGUAACCUGUCCUUUUCUUUGGGAUAAGCUCCUGAAAGGGUGUUUAAUACCUUAUGUUCUGUCUGCCUCGCAUGGGGUGGGUGGGAAAGAUUUUUUCGGUGAAGGGUGGGCUCGCGGUCUAUCAGCUUGUUGGUGGGGUGAUGGCUUACCAAGGCUUUGACGGGUAGCCGGCCUGAGAGGGUGGUCGGUAACAUUGGGACUGAGAUACGGCCCAGAAUCCUGCGGGAGGCAGCAGUGGGGGAUAUUGCACAAUGGGCGCAAGCCUGAUGCAGCGACGCCGCGUGGGGGAUGAAGGCCUUCGGGUUGUAAACUUCUUUUGCUCUGAACAAGGCGCAUCUUUGGGGUGUGUUGAGUGUAGGGGUUGAUUAGCGCCGGCUAACUACGUG
rnacentral:rRNA from 1 species